UGAGGAAUAUUGGUCAAUGGGCGCGAGCCUGAACCAGCCAAGUCGCGUGAGGGAUGACGGCCCUACGGGUUGUAAACCUCUUUUGUCGGGGAGCAAAUUCCGCCACGUGUGGCGGAGUCGAGAGUACCCGAAGAAAAAGCAUCGGCUAACUCCGUGCCAGCAGCCGCGGUAAUACGGAGGAUGCGAGCGUUAUCCGGAUUUAUUGGGUUUAAAGGGUGCGUAGGCGGACUGUCAAGUCAGCGGUAAAAUACGGGGGCUCAACCUCCGCCCGCCGUUGAAACUGACGGUCUUGAGUGGGCGAGA
rnacentral:rRNA from 1 species